GUCCAUGCUCAGAUUAUAGAGGACUGAUAUUGCCGCUUCAACAGCCCUCUCACUUCCUCCUUCUAUUAGCUCCACCAAUGGAAAUAUUCCCCCGGCAGAAGGAAGAAACGGCUCGAGUAGCAUCUACCACCCCCUCUGAAAUUAUUCUGUUGAGUUCUACUACUGCAGCUUCCUGCACUUCAGGAGAGAGAGUGGAUUUAAUCUGCUCUAUUAAUCUUGGGAUGGUCUCGU
rnacentral:misc_RNA from 1 species